GCCAUUGCCCACCCUGCGUCGACCUCUAUCCAAGUUGCUCUUGUAGACCUUCUAGCUUCUUGGAACAUUUAUCCAGCUCGUGUUGUUGGCCAUUCCUCGGGUGAAAUCGCUGCGGCUUAUUGCGCUGGUAAAAUAUCUAGGGAGUCUGCGUGGGGAGCUGCCUACUACCGCGGCUUUGUCUCUGCAAAGCAACAAGGUGUUAAAGGUGCUAUGAUUGCCGUUGGUUUAAGUCAGGAAAAGUUACAGGUGAAUAUGGACAAAGUACAUGCGACUCACAAAGGGGAGUUAGUCGUUGCGUGUUACAAUAGCCCGAGAAACAAUACCGUCUCUGGCGACGAAGUGAUGAUCGACGCGCUGAAAGAGUUGCUUGAUGCGGAAGACAUUUUCGCACGCAAGCUCAAAGUCCAGAAUGCCUACCACUCAUCCCAUAUGCAGCAACUUGCUGAAGAAUAUCUGGAACUGAUGGGUUUCCCCCCUCCCGGACAAUUCCUCGAUUGCAAUCGCAGCAUCCAGAUGUUCUCCACAAUUUCAGGGAAGAGGAUCGAAGAAGUUGAGCUUGCAACCUCUUAUUGGGCUGAUAAUAUGGUUUCGCCAGUCCGUUUCACUGAUGGUUUACUUGCUAUGCUCUUCCACCCAAAUGAUAGCGAUAUCGAACCCCGUCAAUUCGACCAACCUUGGAUAGAUGAAAUAAUUGAAGUAGGUCCACACUCUGCAUUGCAAAGUGCGAUCAAGCAGACCAUCGCUGCCACUCCCUCCCCACCUCCAGUUUCGUACACAUCUCUCCUUAAUCGUCAAGACCCUAGUAUCCGUACCAUGAUGGGUGCUAUCGGAAGCCUAAUUGGCAAAGCAGCCCCAGUCAAUAUUUAUGAAGUCAAUCAUGGUUUCAUGGGACAAAAGGAAAAUGAGCGGAGCCCACAGUUGCUUGUCAGCCUUCCUCCAUACUCCUUCAACCAUGACGAAAAAGGUUACUACGAAAGUAGACUGAGCAAAAAGAUACGUUUCCGAGAAUUCCCACGGCAUCAACUUUUUGGUGCGCCCGUCCAGGACUGGAACAGACAGAAUCGCAAAUGGCGCCAUUUCCUCAGAACUUAUGAAAAUCCUUGGCUAAAAGAGCACAUGGUCACUGGACGUUGCGUUCUUCCUGCAGCUGCAUAUUUGACAAUGGUGACUGAGGCGGUAAGGCAAGUCACAGGUGAUGCAGUCAAACUAACUGGAAUAAGGUUGAGGAAUGUGUCCAUAAAAUCUGCUCUUGUGGUUCCAGAUACAAGAGAGGGCGUGGAGGUGUCCUUAUCCAUUCACCCCGUGAACGAAUCGAACAAUUGGGAGUCUACCGUGUGGAAGUGGUUCCAGGUGUCCUCUUACAUCUCGGCCCAUGACGAUUGGAUAGAACAUUGUUCAGGCUAUUUUUCCGUCCAAUACGUAGCCUCUCCGGAUCCAAUCGACAAUGGCCGUGAGGCUGAAGCGGUUACCCAGGCUUGGAA
rnacentral:sRNA from 2 species